GUCUUUUUGUUUAUUUGUGAAAAGUCUAAUCUGCCCCCUGAUAUUAUUAAAUGGCCGCAGUAUAUUAACUGUGCAAAGGUAGCAUAAUAAUUAGUUUUUUAAUUGAAGACUUGUAUGAAUGAUUGGACGAGGUACAUGCUGUUUCAUAAAAAUUUAUAGAAUUUUAUUUUUUAGUUAAAAAGCUAAAAUGAAAUUUAAAGACGAGAAGACCCUAUAGAUCUUUACAUAUGUUUUAAUAUUAUUAUUUGAGAUGUUAAAAUUUUUAAUAUUAAUUAUUUGUUUUGUUGGGGUGACAUUGAAAUUUAUAAAACUUUUGAUAUUUUAUUUACAUUUAUUUAUGAUUUUAAAUGAUCCUUUAAUAUUGAUUAAAAAUUUAAGUUACCUUAGGGAUAACAGCGUAAUUAUUUUGGAGAGUUCUUAUCGAUAAAAUAGUUUGCGACCUCGAUGUUGGAUUAAGAUUAAUUCUAGGUGUAGCUGCUUAGUUGAUUAAGUCUGUUCGACUUUUAAUUUCUU
rnacentral:rRNA from 1 species